UACGUAGGGUGCAAGCGUUAAUCGGAAUUACUGGGCGUAAAGCGUGCGCAGGCGGUUCUAUAAGACAGAUGUGAAAUCCCCGGGCUCAACCUGGGAACUGCAUUUGUGACUGUAGAGCUGGAGUGCGGCAGAGGGGGGUGGAAUUCCACGUGUAGCAGUGAAAUGCGUAGAGAUGUGGAGGAACACCAAUGGCGAAGGCAGCCCCCUGGGUCGAUACUGACGCUCAUGCACGAAAGCGUGGGUAGCAAACAGG
rnacentral:rRNA from 1 species